CUGCGUAAUCUUUAAUUGAUUUGAGUCAAUAUAUAAAAGAUAAAAUGUACUACAUAUUUGACACAAAUAUAGAAUAAAUACAUAGCCGGUCACGAUAAUUCAGAAGCUUAUAUUGAAUAAUAAAAAUAAAUUUCUAAUAAAUAAAAAUACACAAAAUUUACAAUGAAUAAUUAUCUAAUUAAUUUAUAUAUAACAUCAAUAAAAUAAAAAAUAGUCAAUAAUCAUUUUUAUAACAAACCUAUAAAAUAGCCACUUAUCUAUUUAAUUUGGUUCAUGUUAUCUUCUCUUAGAUUUGACCUAUACGCGGCUAUACUUCUACCUAAAAUUCAAACUUUUAGUCCUAAUUUUUUGAGGCCCAAAGUUACAAUGUGUUUGCCCUACCUCAAGACCGAUAGUAAAUAAAUAGCAAAUACAUUGAAAAAAAUUGUAUAAUCUUCUCUUGUAUUUCCAACAUUGAAAAGUCUAACAAAAAAUUAUUCCUACAGAAAUUGAACUCGAAUUCUCUCAAACAAUUCUUCUUUAGAAGAACUCAUUAAUUACUUGAUCCCGAUUCCUUGGUUAACAUGUCAAAUCUAAAGACAAGAUAUAUCAACGAAAAAUUACACAAGACAAACAUAUUACUUAAAACUAGAGCUGUCAAAGGGGCCGACUUGUCUGGCCCGACCCGGGGGCCCGAACAUUUAAAGGUCCUAGACUGGCCC
rnacentral:lncRNA from 1 species